rnacentral:rRNA from 1 species
UACAGAGGGGGCAAGCGUUAUUCGGAAUUAUUGGGCGUAAAGGGCGCGUAGGCGGCUAUUCAAGUGGCGGGUGAAAUCCCUCGGCUUAACCGAGGAACUGCCUGCCAGGCUGGAUGGCUUGAGACCGGGAGAGGUGAGUGGAAUUCCCGGUGUAGCAGUGAAAUGCGUAGAGAUCGGGAGGAACAUCAGUUGCGAAGGCGGCUCUCUGGACCAGCACUGACACUGAGGCACGAAAGCGUGGGGAGCAAACAGG